UAGAAUUUAGUUAAGUUAUAACAUUAGUUUGUCAAAUUAAAAUUACUAGUAAAAAUUAGUAAUUCUUA
rnacentral:tRNA from 1 species